rnacentral:rRNA from 1 species
CAGUAGCCGCGGUAAGACAGAGGAUGCAGGCGUUAUCCGGAAUGAUUGGGCGUAAAGCGUCUGUAGGUGGCUUUUCAAGUCCGCCGUCAAAUCCCAGGGCUCAACCCUGGACAGGCGGUGGAAACUACCAAGCUGGAGUACGGUAGGGGCAGAGGGAAUUUCUGGUGGAGCGGUGAAAUGCGUUGAGAUCGAAAAGAACACCAACGGCGAAAGCACUCUGCUGGGCCGACACUGACACUGAGAGACGAAAGCUAGGGGAGCAAAUGGGAUUAGAUACCCCCGUAGUCCCUGUCUCUUAUAC